rnacentral:lncRNA from 1 species
CAUGAAGCUUUUCUUUAUUCUUUCAGUUAUAAUUAAUUGUUCUUUCUUUUGUUAUAGUUUUAGCAAUAACUACUGUGAAUUUGCAUGUGUCCAGUUCAUUGUAUUGGCAAAAACUAUCCAGAAACCUGAGGACAAGACAGCCUGGGAACAGUUUCCCAGCCUUGGGAACAGCCUGAGCAAUUUCCUCAGAAUAGCAACCGUGGCUGUGAAUUGAUAGCAAACACGCCUGACACUGAAGAGCACAUCAUCCUUGUGCACAAGCGUUUUUGAUUAUUUCCUUAGGAUGCCUGCUUAGGGAUGGAGCAGUAGAAUGACUGCAUCAAAAGAAAAACCAUUUUGAGGGCUUUGAUAUGUAUUUGGUACAUAUCACUAAGGUGUCCUGUGGAGAAACUGCACCAUUUACCUAUGCCUCACAGUCCUUGGCACUGAAGCUGCCACUUGAAAACAAUAUCCCAG